GAUGAACGCUGGCGGCGUGCCUAAUACAUGCAAGUCGAGCGAACGGACGAGAAGCUUGCUUCUCUGAUGUUAGCGGCGGACGGGUGAGUAACACGUGGAUAACCUACCUAUAAGACUGGGAUAACUUCGGGAAACCGUAGCUAAUACCGGAUAAUAUUUUGAACCGCAUGGUUCAAAAGUGAAAGACGGUCUUGCUGUCACUUAUAGAUGGAUCCGCGCUGCAUUAGCUAGUUGGUAAGGUAACGGCUUACCAAGGCAACGAUGCAUAGCCGACCUGAGAGGGUGAUCGGCCACACUGAAACGAAGACCGGUCCCGGAUCCCAAGGGGGGGCAGCAGUAGGGAAUCUUCCGCAAUGGGCGAAGGCCGAACGAGCAACGCCGCGUGAGUGAUGAAGGUCUUCGGAUCGUAAAACUCUGUUAUUAGGGAAGAACAUAUGUGUAAGUAACUGUGCACAUCUUGACGGUACCUAAUCAGAAAGCCACGGCUAACUACGUG
rnacentral:rRNA from 1 species